rnacentral:rRNA from 1 species
AUUGAACGCUGGCGGCAGGCCUAACACAUGCGAGUCGAGCGGAUGAAGGGAGCUUGCUCCUGGAUUCAGCGGCGGACGGGUGAGUAAUGCCUAGGAAUCUGCCUGGUAGUGGGGGAUAACGUCCGGAAACGGGCGCUAAUACCGCAUACGUCCUGAGGGAGAAAGUGGGGGAUCUUCGGACCUCACGCUAUCAGAUGAGCCUAGGUCGGAUUAGCUAGUUGGUGGGGUAAAGGCCUACCAAGGCGACGAUCCGUAACUGGUCUGAGAGGAUGAUCAGUCAAACUGGAACUGAGACACGGUCCAGACUCCUACGGGAGGCAGCAGUGGGGAAUAUUGGACAAUGGGCGAAAGCCUGAUCCAGCCAUGCCGCGUGUGUGAAGAAGGUCUUCGGAUUGUAAAGCACUUUAAGUUGGGAGGAAGGGCAGUAAGUUAAUACCUUGCUGUUUUGACGUUACCAACAGAAUAAGCACCGGCUAACUUCGUG